AGACCCGAAACCCGGUGAUCUAGCCAUGGGCAGGUUGAAGGUUGGGUAACACUAACUGGAGGACCGAACCGACUAAUGUUGAAAAAUUAGCGGAUGACCUGUGGCUGGGGGUGAAAGGCCAAUCAAACCGGGAGAUAGCUGGUUCUCCCCGAAAGCUAUUUAGGUAGCGCCUCGUGAAUUCAUCUCCGGGGGUAGAGCACUGUUUCGGCUAGGGGGCCAUCCCGGCUUACCAACCCGAUGCAAACUGCGAAUACCGGAGAAUGUUAUCACGGGAGACACACGGCGGGUGCUAACGUCCGUCGUGAAGAGGGAAACAACCCAGACCGCCAGCUAAGGUCCCAAAGUCAUGGUUAAGUGGGAAACGAUGUGGGAAGGCCCAGACAGCCAGGAUGUUGGCUUAGAAGCAGCCAUCAUUUAAAGAAAGCGUAAUAGCUCACUGGUCGAGUCGGCCUGCGCGGAAGAUGUAACGGGGCUAAACCAUGCACCGAAGCUGCGGCAGCGACGCUUAUGCGUUGUUGGGUAGGGGAGCGUUCUGUAAGCCUGUGAAGGUGGCCUGUGAGGGUUGCUGGAGGUAUCAGAAGUGCGAAUGCUGACAUAAGUAACGAUAAAGCGGGUGAAAAGCCCGCUCGCCGGAAGACCAAGGGUUCCUGUCCAACGUUAAUCGGGGCAGGGUGAGUCGACCCCUAAGGCGAGGCCGAAAGGCGUAGUCGAUGGGAAACGGGUUAAUAUUCCCGUACUUGGUGUUACUGCGAAGGGGGGACGGAGAAGGCUAUGUUGGCCGGGCGACGGUUGUCCCGGUUUAAGCGUGUAGGUGUGUGUUCCAGGUAAAUCCGGUUCACUUUAACACUGAGGCGUGACGACGAGGCACUACGGUGCUGAAGCAACAAAUGCCCUGCUUCCAGGAAAAGCCUCUAAGCAUCAGGUAACAUCAAAUCGUACCCCAAACCGACACAGGUGGUCAGGUAGAGAAUACCAAGGCGCUUGAGAGAACUCGGGUGAAGGAACUAGGCAAAAUGGUGCCGUAACUUCGGGAGAAGGCACGCUGACACGUAGGUGAAGUGAUUUACUCACGGAGCUGAAGUCAGUCGAAGAUACCAGCUGGCUGCAACUGUUUAUUAAAAACACAGCACUGUGCAAACACGAAAGUGGACGUAUACGGUGUGACGCCUGCCCGGUGCCGGAAGGUUAAUUGAUGGGGUCAGCGCAAGCGAAGCUCCUGAUCGAAGCCCCGGUAAACGGCGGCCGUAACUAUAACGGUCCUAAGGUAGCGAAAUUCCUUGUCGGGUAAGUUCCGACCUGCACGAAUGGCGUAAUGAUGGCCAGGCUGUCUCCACCCGAGACUCAGUGAAAUUGAACUCGCUGUGAAGAUGCAGUGUACCCGCGGCAAGACGGAAAGACCCCGUGAACCUUUACUAUAGCUUGACACUGAACAUUGAGCCUUGAUGUGUAG
rnacentral:rRNA from 1 species